ensembl:lncRNA ANXA2R-OT1 ANXA2R overlapping transcript 1
CCUCGGCCUCCCAAAGUGCUGGGAUUACAGGCGUGAGCCACCGCGCCCGGCCGGUACUCCGAAGCCCUCAGAUCGGCGACCUGGGCGCUGUAGGCACCGAGAAAAUACAGGCACCGAGCCAGAAGCAGUGCCGCAACCAAGAGACCUCGGCUUGGCGAAAUGGCGGCGUCUGGAGCCUGCGAGUGACGCCAGCUGGUGGGGCUGUCAAGGAGAACAUUCGUUACGGCGCAACCAACGGUACUGUCACCAAGAAACCGUCGUCUCUGAGAAAAAAAGAGACGUUCGGCCGCCGAGAAACUCCGUACAAGUGCUGUGACAGAAAAACCGCCGGCUCCGCGCAGCGGCAAAAGAGCCAACGGGAACGCCGGGUGCUGCGACCAUGACCCCGGCACUGGAGGACGUGGGAUGGAGAAUGGGACACACGGAGCGAGAAGGGAAACGUUUCGUGCAGACCAACUAGCGCCGCCGCCACCGGAAAACUGACUCGCCAGUGCUGCCAAUGAAGUGCGUGUGAGAAACCGAUGACUGGUGGGAGGAGCAGCGCUGGGCGCUGGACCCGCGAGUGUGAGAAUCUGGCGGCGCUAGGACCCUUCAGGCGCGGGCACGAGGCGAAACCCAGCGCUGUUGCCAAAGACAAAUGCGCGUUCUUUUGGGCGCCAUCAGCGGUGCAGCCAGUGAUCACUCCCAGGCUCUGAGAAACUAGAGAUGUCAGCCACAAACCCUCCGUUCAGGGAAAGUUUGCGGCGCCGUGACGGAUCGACUGGCACUGGGUGCAACAUUGUCUUGUGGCCUAGAGACUAGAAUAUAAAAACAAAAACCAAAUACAAAACUGCUGCUGGCAUUACUCCUACUCUCCCCCCUCAAGUCAGUGGCUUCAGGCUUAAGAAAACCUGUAUUUUUCUUGGCUGUGCCAUAAUCCGUAAUUACCGAGGCCCCCAGCGACCCACCCAGUGUGAUUCGCAGAGGGAAAGGAGCUGGAAUAAGGACCGUGAAUGGGGCGGAUGUGGCUCGUCCUGGGAGAGAGCUAAAGCUUAUGCUGGUCGCAAACAGCAUUACAUUGCAGGAAACUGCUCUUCCAAUGGCCGUGGCUGGGUCCUUCCACACCAUCCCUCUGCCCUAGACCUUUGUCCCCGUUCAGAGCCAUCAGAGAUUCUAGGAGAGCUGUCGACAACCGCAUCUCUUCGGAACUUGGAAACUCUAGGUUCAAGAUCUCCGUGGAGAAUGAAAGGCACAGUCGCCUGACCCGGGCAUCAGGCUUGCCCCGCACAUCAAGUCCCUCCCCUACUGGAUGGAACUCUGUGGCAAUCGCUCCUUAUUCUGAUGGUUCACUCUGUCAGAUAUCCUCGAUAUUUGGGGAUAGUAGUUCAAAAACAGCCGGGGAGGAAAAUGGGCUGAAAGAUUCCAGCGUUGGAUGUAGAAUUGACAGCGAGACAUACACCUCCUCUCUAAGCCCAGAGAAAAGCUCAAGUUGUGGUUCUCUGUCUCUAGCAGCAUGAUCUUCAAAAUGCAUCAUUGAUUUCUAUCUUCUGGGAAAUGCAAUGCAGGUGAACUUGAGGAAAUCAGUGGUGCUUCAGGAUAUUGUGAAUUUGGUCUUCUGAAAGCAGAAUUCUGAUUUAACAGUAUAAUGGAAUUCGUGAACGUCAUGAUGCUAAUUUGAACCAACAAGCACCCUUGUGAGAGGAAUCUGCUUUUCCUCAAGUCUGAAGAACACCAGGAGAAUCUUUCUGUAUGGAGUUACCAGGAAUCCUCUGCUAAGGAAAGUGAAAGGGAAGAUGCAAUUUCUCCUGGGAAGGGGGGAUGCUGAUGUAGAGGGUGACAAGUAAUAUGCCAUGAAGGAUUCAGUCACCUGGUUAGAUUUAGAGUUAGAGUUAUGGUUAAGGAAGAAGGAAGGAAAAAAGGCAGAAGAGGAAGAAAGGAAGCAAGAAAAGAUAAAAUUUAUUCUAAGAUAAAAUUUGUGAAUUUUGCUAAACUAUAUAUAUUUAUUUAUUUAUUUAUUUUAUUUAUUUAUUUAUUUUUGCUGUCAUUAGCCAAGAUAAGGAAUCUUCAAGUUGAGUAAGACUGGAUUUAGAAUUGUCUGGGGGCUUUCAAAAGAGCCAUUCAGUAAAUAAGAAAGAAUACAGGCCUGCAGCACCAGAGUCUGAGCUGGGGGCAUAGGUUUGUGUGAAUUUGGGCAUGGUGGCUCAGGUCUGUAAUCCCAGCACUUUGGGAGGCUGAAGUUGAGGACUGCUUGAGCUCAGGAGUCUGAGACCACCCUGGGCAACAUGGGGAGACCCCAUCUCUACAAAAAAAUAAAAAAUAUUAACCCAAGGUGGUGGCAUGCACCUUGCUGCCAGCUACUGUGGAGGCUGAGGUGAGAGGAUUGUUUAAGUCCAGGAUGUUGAGACUGCAGUGAGCCCUGUUUGUGGCACUGCACUCCUGCCUGGUCCACAGAGGGAGACUCUGUCUGAAGGUGGGGAAAGAAAAGAUUUGUAUGAAUUUGGUGCUGCUUUGUAUUUCAAAAUAGGAAAGUGGAUAUACGAAUAUAUGGCAUAAAAGGUCCAGAUACUGGACCCCAGUGAACUCAAUUGUUUUCAAGGUCUGACUUUAACCUUGCUAGGCUGAAGAAUCUGGAAUGGCUCAGAUGUUUCUAGUUCAGCUGUAACUUUUGCCUCCUUUAGAGUAAAGCUGUGGGGGACUUGAGUAUACUCAGAGUGGAUCUGAGAGGUAUCUGCUUCCAGAAUGAAUUAGAAUUCCUGGAUUUGAAUCAUAAUCAGAUGGCUGUUAAGGGGUUAUUGAAGACAUAUGGCUCUUAAGUUCACAAUAUUGAAUUCAGGUGAAUAUUAUAAAUAUUUGUAAGUUGGAUUAUAUUAUUGAAGCACUUGGUAAAAAUUGCCAUGCAGGGAUAAAUGUAGGAAGGGGAUUGCAGAGUCUGAUAUCUAAAAAAUAAGUGGAGCAGCAUUUGGAAACCCCGUUCACAUUUUCAAUCUCUUUUCUCUCAUUAGAACCUAACUGCUAUCCUCUAAUCCCUACUUUUGAAAAAAUGUAUUUAAGGCUGGGCGUGGUGGCUCACGCCUGUAAUCCCAGCACUUUGGAAGGCCGAAGUGGGUGGAUCACGAGGUCAGGAGAUCGAGACCAUCCUGGCUAACAUGGUGAAACCCCAUCUCUACUAAAAAUACAAAAAAUUAGCCGGGCGUUGUGGUGGGCACCUGUAGUCCUAGCUACUCGGGAGGCUGAGGCAGGAGAAUGGCGUGAACCCAGGAGGCAGAGCUUGUAGUGAGCUGAGAUCGCGCCACUGCACUCCAGCCUGGGCGACAGAGCGAGACUCCGUCUCAGAAAAAAAAAAAAAGAAAAAAUGUAUUUAAAAACUCAGCAAACAUUAAUGGAGAUAUUCCAAGAGCCAGGCUCCUGGUUCCAAGACCCCACUCAGAGGACUAAGCUCAAAUCUAAUAAGAUGUGUAGGCUUGGGGCCAGUGGGGCGAGGGGAUAUCCACAGGAGGGCCAAUCGAACAAGGCCUCAGACUCAUGAGCCUCAAAUGUAGAUGUUAGAUUUUUCCUCCAAUUGAGAUUAUACAUACAGCCACAGAGCUUCAUGGAUGCAAAUGAAAAUGGUCAUGUCUCAACUUUUAAACUGUGCUCAAUUAGAGGAACUCAUUGCCUAUGGCAU